UACAGAGGGUGCGAGCGUUGUCCGGAAUUAUUGGGCGUAAAGAGCGCGUAGGCGGUCCGAUAAGUCGGCUGUGAAAGUCAGGGGCUCAACCCUUGAAAGCCGGCCGAUACUGUCGGACUAGAGUCCGGAAGAGGCAAGUGGAAUUCCCGGUGUAGCGGUGAAAUGCGCAGAUAUCGGGAGGAACACCAAUGGCGAAGGCAGCUUGCUGGGACGGUACUGACGCUGAGGCGCGAAAGCGUGGGGAGCAAACAGG
rnacentral:rRNA from 1 species